UCCAAAGAACUGCAUUUGGCUUCAUAGGAAUGGUCUGAACUAUUUCUUCAGCCUCCUUUACUCGGCCUGCUCGACCAAAUAGGUCGACUAAGGUCCCAUAGUGCUCAAGCUUAGGCUCAAUGCCGUAAUCCUCCUUCAUUGACUCAAAAAAUUUGCAGCCUUGAUCAACCAACCCGACAUUAGAGCAAGCACACAUUAUAACUAGCAUUGUUACAUCAUCAGGAACUAAACCUUCUAAAUCCAUUUUCUUGAAAAGUUCAAGGGCUUCCACACCAAGGCCAUGAACUGCAAGUCCUCUAAUCAUGGCAUUGUAACAAUAAGUGUCUCUUUCGAGCAAUUGAUCGAAUACCUGACGAGCAAAAUCAAG
rnacentral:misc_RNA from 1 species